GCGGCUGGCGUACCGGCUGAUGCUGCGCCGGCCGUGGGGGCCGGCGCUCUGGGACUCGUACUACCGCCGGUUCUAUCCCGGCCGGCCCCC
rnacentral:tRNA from 1 species